rnacentral:rRNA from 1 species
GAUUAACGCUAGCGGCAGGCCUAAUACAUGCAAGUUGUACGGGAUUAUUGGUAGCAAUACUGAUAUGAGAGUAGCGCACGGGUGCGUAACACGUAUGCAACCUACCUUUAACUGGGGAAUAGCCUUCCGAAAGGAGAUUAAUACCGCAUAACAUUGCGAAACGACAUCGUUUUGCAAUUAAACCUACGGGGUUANAGAUGGGCAUGCGUCCGAUUAGCUAGUUGCGGGUAAGCCACCAAGGCAACGAUCGGUAGGGGUCUGAGAGGAUGAU